CAACAGGGCAAGACUCCGUCUCAAAAAAUAAUAAUAAAAAAAAAACGAAAUAGCUGUAUGACUCCUCCUCCUUUUUACUUGGGGGAGAGAGAGUUUGAGGUGGAAAGAGGAGAGAUGGGCAGGAAGAACGGGUUCUCACCACGCUUUCCCACUGGUGAGAGAACAGAAGUUUACUUCUUACUGGGUGGAGACACUUGGCAUUUGUAAAUGAGAAUAACAAUUUGAAGGAAGAUAAGAACAAGAACAAAACCUCCUAUAGCAUAAACAGAAACGUUUGGAGUGUAUUAAUCUGCUGCUCACUUUCGAAAAUGCCAUCAGCCUCUUUCCGCAUUGUGUCUGAAGAGUGGCAGCUGCGAGGACCUCGCCGUUUGUCACCCUCGGAAGCCAUGCCUCUCAUCUGGGGCCUUGAUCCGGCAUCCCCGGCCAGUGCAGUCCCUUCAGCCAUGGGAUAGGUGGCGGGCGGAGAGGCCGGCCUGGCUGCCUGGCAUCGCGGUGGUUCCUGUAGUAAAUAACAAGGCUCACUGACAAAUUUGCUGUUUUCUUAUAUGACUGCCACGCACGCUACAAAGUGUGAGGCAAACCACAAGUCAUCAGUGUCACAGCAAAACAAAAACAGACACACAACAGAAGAAACCACGCUGGUGAGGUCAGCGGGGUGGAAGAUAGAGGAGACUAUGCAGGGAGGCUCAGCUGCACCUGACACACAACAGAGUUUCUCCAGGAACAGGAGAUGAAUGAGUACAAAAUCAAAUCUUCCUCCAGCAGACAAACCCAGAAUAGCAAAGAUCACUCGAUGAACUAAUGUAACCAUAUCAAGCAAAUUGCACCCCCUUUUCUGUCUUUUGUUCUCCCCCAGGCACACUUGCCAGCUUCCUCUUUCUACGUCCUCCUGGGCAUAUUCAGCCUUCAUCAUGAAGUCAUGUCUAUUUUCCACUUGCAUGCUUUCCUGGAAGACUCUUGGACAGCGUAUCAAGAUCUCAUUUUCUUGCUUGAACUCACUGCAGACUCAUCUUGUGGCAAGGCUCACCACCCACCAUGCUGGGCCUUGUCAGUGCCCUGGGGCAGCGUGGAUGGGCUGCCCACGCUUUCAACUCACAGACGGCAGCAAAGGCCAUCGCCUCCUUCUGAAGGAAUCAGAAGUUGGAACCAGGCCAGUGUAGGGUGGGACCAGAACUGAUGCCUGGACACAUGACCAUAGACUGUCCUUGCCGUUGGAGAGCUGCGGACCGCGCCAUAGGAGGCUGUGUGGUUAUAGCCUGUGAGCCACCAAGAUCUUCAUUUCCUCAUCUGCCUUUACUUCGUGUCGCCUCUGAAUGUGAUCCUGUGUUCUGGGUUUUUUUUUUUUUCUGAAAUGGCAGCAUUUCAAAUAUGCUGUUUUUUACCACCAAUCAUUUCUUGCCAGCUGGGUGCAGUGGGUGACACCUGUAAUCCCAGCACUUUGGGAGGGCGAGGGGGGUGGAUCACGAGGUCAAGAGUUCGAGACCAGCCUGGCCAACAUGGUGAAA